GAUGAACGCUGGCGGCGUGCCUAAUACAUGCAAGUCGAGCGAACAGAUGAGGAGCUUGCUCCUCUGACGUUAGCGACGGACGGGCGAGUAAGACGUGGAUAACCUACCUCUAUGACUUGGGGAACUUCGGGGAACCGGAGCUAAUACUGGCUAAUAUAUUGUACCGCUUGGUUCAAUAGUUAAUGACGGUUUUGCUGUCUCUUAUAGAUGGAUCCGCGCCGGAUUAGCUAGUUGGUAAGGUAACGGCUUACCAAGGCAACGAUGCGUAGCCGACCUGAGAGGAUGAUCGGCCACACUGGAACUGAGACACGGUCCAGACUCCUACGGGAGGCAGCAGUGGGGAAUAUUCGGCAAUGGGCGCAAGCCUGACGGAGCAACACCGCGUGAGUGAUGAAGGUCUUCGGAUUGUAAAGCUCUGUUGUUGGGGAAGAAAAGAUGCAGAUGUAAAUCUGCCCGUCUUGACGGUACCUAAACAAAAAGCCACGGCUAACUACGUG
rnacentral:rRNA from 1 species